UUUUGGGUCAGCCCACCCUCAUGCAUCAAGGAUGUAUUUUUCUUUGCUUGCCAAAUGAAACAACUGUAACACUGGUCCAUCCAUCUCUUUAAUUUUUUGCUGCAGCAAGACAAAGCAGAGGAAAUUACACACUUCCCCAACAAAAAUGGUGCCCUGACUCAGAUUUAACCUGGCUGAAACAACCUCUGCUUGGCCCCUAUGAGGCUGAGGCCAAGCACAGCAGAAGCCCAACUCGGAGAAAGCUCCCACAGUGCAAGCUGAACAUGAAGAAAAUCCAGCGCAGUGGAAGUGACAAGCCCAGCAUGCUGGAAACCAGGACAACAGAAACAAACUCAUCCGAAAGCUCGCACAGUUCAGUCUCUGUUUCCAGGAGACCUCCGGUUAAGAUGGGAAAUAACCAGUCCACUUCCCAACAGAUGCCCUUGAGAUGCAUCCUUGAUAACUGGAAGAUUUUCAAUCCUCUAACUCUAAGGAGAGUAAGUAAGUCAACAAGCUACAACAUGCAGUGCCAGUUCAGCAAGGAUAUAUAAAACUUCACCCGACCAUGGAAAUUAUCACUCACCAUUAGAUGGACACUGCUAUAAGGACACUGAGGCUGGAGACUAGCAAGAGAGGGGGGUCCAAUGCCCCUCGCCAUCCCAGUUCACCAGGAAGUAGCCAGAGAGACCUUUACCCCCCUCUACCCAAAGAAUUGGGCCUCCUAUCUCUUGAGGGGGAAAUGUUAGGUAGUUAUAAUAGGAAAAACGAGUCCAGAAAGGACUAAAAGUGGUGGCUAAAAGACAAAGAAGGGAAAAGCCUGCAAAAAUAGAACAAAGGAAGGUCUGAGGACUGGAGUGAGAACCUUAGGUGAAACAAACAGCCCUCCUGGCUAGCCCAAUUUACACAGGGCAGGCUCAGGGGAAGGAGAAAAAAACUAAAAAGAGGAGCCAAAAUUGAGCCUCUGGCCUUGCUUCUAAUCUUUUGGGUUGGCCCACCCUCACACCUCGAGGAUGUAUUUUCCUUUGCUUGCCAAAUAAAACUGAGCUGCAACACUA
rnacentral:lncRNA from 1 species